rnacentral:rRNA from 1 species
CAGGCCUAACACAUGCAAGUCGAACGAAGGCUUCGGCCUUAGUGGCGCACGGGUGCGUAACGCGUGGGAAUCUGCCCUUGGGUUCGGAAUAACAGUUAGAAAUGACUGCUAAUACCGGAUGAUGACGUAAGUCCAAAGAUUUAUCGCCCAAGGAUGAGCCCGCGUAGGAUUAGCUAGUUGGUGAGGUAAAGGCUCACCAAGGCGACGAUCCUUAGCUGGUCUGAGAGGAUGAUCAGCCACACUGGGACUGAGACACGGCCCAGACUCCUACGGGAGGCAGCAGUGGGGAAUAUUGGACAAUGGGCGAAAGCCUGAUCCAGCAAUGCCGCGUGAGUGAUGAAGGCCUUAGGGUUGUAAAGCUCUUUUACCCGGGAUGAUAAUGACAGUACCGGGAGAAUAAGCCCCGGCUAACUCCGUGCCAGCAGCCGCGGUAAU